rnacentral:rRNA from 1 species
UCUCUCUGAAUCUGCGUACGGCUCAUUAAAUCAGUUAUAGUUUAUUUGAUGGUACCUUACUACUUGGAUAACCGUGGUAAUUCUAGAGCUAAUACAUGCACAACAGCCCUGACUUCUGGAAAGGGUGUAUUUAUUAGAUAAAAAACCAACGCGGGCAACCGCUUUUUUGGUGAACCAUUUUAACUUUGCGAAUCGCAUGGCCUUUGUGCCGGCGAUGCUUCAUUCAAAUAUCUGCCCUAUCAACUCAAGUUGGUACAGUAGUGGUCUACCAUGGUUAUGACGGGUAACGGGGAAUUAGGGUUCGAUUCCUGGAGAGUGGGCCUGAGAGAUUGUUAG